rnacentral:tRNA from 1 species
GGCCCCAUCGUCUAACGGUUAGGACAUCAGGUUUUCAUCCUGAAAAUUCGGGUUCGAUUCCCGGUGGGGUCA